CGUCACUGACACACUGUUGAUUCACUGAUACACUGCCAAUUGUUGUAUGAUGCAUUCGACUUGGUAGCAGUCAAGUCACAUUUGGGAAAUUAUCCUUGUUACUUGCUGUGUUGCCAGGUUUGCUGAAGCUUUAAGGUAAUGAAUCCGAUAUCAGGUGAACCGGGAUGUCAGUUUGGGGAAUGAAACAGAAUUGGUAUCAGAACGCUAUGUGUAAUAAUUAAGAUCUUAUUUUUGCUAGCUAGCCUUCAUUCUGUUUUGUUGAUACUCUGAAGUCUGUUAUUGCCAUUAUUCUGUUUUGUCUGAUUCUGUUUGCUGGGUUGUACUGUGCUUGCCCUUUAAUAUUCACGAUGUAAUUAAUAUAUGUAUUUUUGCCAGCUAGCCUUUCAUUGCGGUGUCUGAUUCUGUUUUGUUGA